CAGAUAUCAUAAAAUCGUGAAACACAAGCUCAUCCUAGAAUACCAGUGCAGCAGCUACAACCACCUAAAAUCAAAUCAAACUGAUAAUUAAAGUUUGAAAAAAACAAAUAGAUCAAUGAAUGCAGAAAUUCUUACGAGUGUGCAUAUGCCAAAACGGAUUUGGAACACUGGAAUAGAACUCCUCGCUGGACAAACAGGAACUUCAAUGGAAAGCCAACCGGAUUCUGUCGGAAUUUAAAUGAGACAAUAAUGAAACGAACCAGGUGGCUAGAACCUCGGUCGAACCUAAAUUGCAACUACUGUCCCUUUCUCGUUUCUAUGCGUGUGCAUGUAUGGCUGCUGGUUCGUUUUCCGGCGAACUCACGGGGCAACGUCGAGGUGGUCGCUGGUUAAGGGUGUGGUGGCGACGAAAUUUCUAGGGUUCAGCUCCUAAGUUCAGUGGGUGGUCGUUGAAUAAGGGACGAAGAAGGAGUCGAUGGGGUCAUAGAAAGUCAGUGAUGGCUUCGAGACGCGAUGAAGAAACAAGCCACUGGAAAUAUAUUUGGUCUCUUUGUUCGCUGCUUAGGUCCUUUUGAUGAAGAAGAUGACUAAAGCCAUUUUUGUUUUCUCUCCAGUCAAAAAACGGCAGAUCGUAU
rnacentral:lncRNA from 1 species